GUCCCUACGGGGCGCAGCAGUGGGGGAUAUUGCACAAUGGGGGAAACCCUGAUGCAGCGACGCCGCGUGAGUGAAGAAGUAUUUCGGUAUGUAAAGCUCUAUCGGCAGGGAAGAAAAAGCGCGCGAGCGCCCUUGACAGUACCUGACUAGGAAGCCCCGGCUAACUACGUGCCAGCAGCCGCGGUAAUACGUAGGGGGCAAGCGUUAUCCGGAUUUACUGGGUGUAAAGGGAGCGUAGACGGCAGCACAAGUCUGGAGUGAAAUCCCGGGGCUUAACCCCGGAACUGCUUUGGAA
rnacentral:rRNA from 1 species